rnacentral:rRNA from 1 species
CCUACGGGCGGCAGCAGUAGGGAAUAUUGCUCAAUGGGGGAAACCCUGAAGCAGCAACGCCGCGUGAAGGAUGAAGGUUUUCGGAUUGUAAACUCCUUUUGUCAGAGAAGAUAAUGACGGUAUCUAACGAAUAAGCACCGGCUAACUCCGUGCCAGCAGCCGCGGUAAUACGGCGGGUGCAAGCGUUACUCGGAAUCAUUGGGCGUAAAGGGCGCGUAGGCGGGAUAGCAAGUCAGAUGUGAAAUCCCAUGGCUUAACCAUAGAACUGCAUUUGAAACUGUUAUUCUAGAGUAGAGGAGAGGUAGGUGGAAUUCUUGGUGUAUGGGUAAAAUGCGUAGAGAUCAAGAGGAAUACUCAUUGCGAAGGCGACCUGCUAGAACAUAACUGACGCUGAUGCGCGAAAGCGUGGGGAGCAAACAGGAUUAGAUACCCUGGUAGUC